rnacentral:rRNA from 1 species
AUCAUUAACGAGUUUUAUUGAAAUGGGUUGUCGCUGGUCUCAAAUUCUGAGACAUGUGCACGCCUUGCUCAUUUAUUCUCAUAUUAUCACCCCUGUGCACUUACUGUAGGCUCGGUGGAACGAUUCAACUUCUUGUUGAGUUUGAAAGCCUUGUCUAUGUUUUAUUUACAAACGCUUCAGUUUAAAGGAAUGUCAUUAUUUUUGCAUUUAAUGCAUUAAAUUACAACUUUCAGCAACGGAUCUCUUGGCUCUCGCAUCGAUGAAGAACGCAGCGAAAUGCGAUAAGUAAUGUGAAUUGCAGAAUUCAGUGAAUCAUCGAAUCUUUGAACGCACCUUGCACUCCUUGGUAUUCCGAGGAGUAUGCCUGUUUGAGUGUCAUGGUAUUCUCAACCUUCAACGCUUUAUUGCGAUGCAAGGCUUGGAUUUGGAGGCCGUGUUGGCGCAAGUCAACUCCUCUUAAAUGUAUUAGUGUGAACCGUUACGGAUUGCCUUCAGUGUGAUAAUUAUCUACGCUGUGGUAUUGAAGUAUGAUAGUGUUUGCGCUUCUAAUCGUCUGCAUUCUGUGGACAAUAUUUACUUGACGAUCUGACCUCAAAUCAGGUAGGACUACCCGC